rnacentral:rRNA from 1 species
GAUCAACGCUGGCGGCGUGCCUUACGCAUGCAAGUCGCACGGUCCCUUCGCAAGAGGGGGUAGUGGCGGACGGGUGAGGAACACGUACGUGACCUGCCUACUAGUGGGGGAUACCCUUCCGAAAGGGAGGUUAAUACCGCAUGUGGUCUCCUUGGUGCGCCAGGGAGAGUAAAGUUGCAAGGCGCUAGUAGAGAGGCGUGCGGCGGAUUAGCUGGUUGGUGGGGUAACGGCCUACCAAGGCGACGAUCCGUAGCUGGUCUGAGAGGACGGCCAGCCACACGGGGACUGAGACACGGCCCCGACUCCUACGGGAGGCAGCAGCGAGGAAUCUUGGGCAAUGGGCGCAAGCCUGACCCAGCGACGCCGCGUGGGGGAUGACGGCCCUU